rnacentral:rRNA from 1 species
GUACCGCAACGAGCGCAACCCUCGACCUUAGUUGCCAGCAUUCAGUUGGGCACUCUAAGGUGACUGCCGGCUAAAAGUCGGAGGAAGGUGGGGAUGACGUCAAAUCAUCAUGCCCCUUAUGACCUGGGCUACACACGUGCUACAAUGGGCGGUACAAAGGGUCGCGAACCCGCGAGGGGGAGCCAAUCCCAAAAAGCCGCUCUCAGUUCGGAUUGCAGGCUGCAACUCGCCUGCAUGAAGCCGGAAUCGCUAGUAAUCGCGGAUCAGCAUGCCGCGGUGAAUACGUUCCCGGGCCUU